UGGGGAAUAUUGGACAAUGGGGGGAACCCUGAUCCAGCCAUGCCGCGUGUGUGAAGAAGGCCUUAUGGUUGUAAAGCACUUUAAGCGAGGAGGAGGGUACUGGUAUUAAUACUACCAGGUACUGGACGUUACUCGCAGAAUAAGCACCGGCUAACUCUGAGCCAGCAGCCGCGGUAAUACAGAGGGUGCGAGCGUUAAUCGGAUUUACUGGGCGUAAAGCGUGCGUAGGCGGCUAAUUGAGUCGGAUGUGAAAUCCCCGAGCUUAACUUGGGAAUUGCAUUCGAUACUGGUUAGCUAGAGUGUGGGAGAGGAUGGUAGAAUUCCAGGUGUAGCGGUGAAAUGCGUAGAGAUCUGGAGGAAUACCGAUGGCGAAGGCAGCCAUCUGGCCUAACACUGACGCUGAGGUACGAAAGCAUGGGGAGCAAACAGG
rnacentral:rRNA from 1 species